rnacentral:lncRNA from 1 species
CAGAAGUCAGGUCGGAUUAAGCCAUAGUACGGGAAAAACUAUGCUACCUGUGAGCCCCGUCCAAGGACGUUAAAAGAAGUCAGGCCACUACAAGUGCCAUAGCUUGAGUAAACUAUGCAGCCUGUAGCUCCACCUGAGAAGGUGUAAAAAAUCUGGGAGGCCACAAACCAUGGAAGCUGUACGCAUGGCGUAGUGGACUAGCGGUUAGAGGAGACCCCUCCCUUACAAAUCGCAGCAACAAUGGGGGCCCAAGGUGAGAUGAAGCUGUAGUCUCACUGAAAGGACUAGAGGUUAGAGGAGACCCCCCCGAAAUAAAAAACAGCAUAU